rnacentral:rRNA from 1 species
UACGGAGGAGGCAAGCGUUAUCCGGAAUUACUGGGCGUAAAGGGCGCGUAGGCGGUCUGUUAAGUCGGAUGUGAAAACUCUGGGCUCAACCCAGAGCCUGCAUCCGAAACUGGCAGGCUAGAGUUCUGGAGGGGGUAGCGGAAUUCCUGGUGUAGCGGUGAAAUGCGUAGAUAUCCGGAGGAACACCGGUGGCGAAGGCGGCUUCCUGGACCGAUACUGACGCUGAGGCGCGAAAGCUAGGGGAGCAAACGGG